rnacentral:rRNA from 1 species
AUUCCAGCUCCAAUAGCGUAUAUUAAAGUUGUUGCAGUUAAAAAGCUCGUAUUUGAAUUUUUGUCUGUUGGGGCCUUGUUCUGUCCUUAGUGGCGGAGUUUAGUGUCCCGACGGACUUCCUGGGGGCCAACUAGUUGGUGUUUCAUUACACUGAUUAGGGAACCCCCUCGUUUACUGUGAAAAAAUUAGAGUGCUCAAAGCAGGCUAUUACGCCUGAAUAUUCGUGCAUGGAAUAAUAGAAUAGGAAGUCGUUUCUAUUUUGUUGGUUUUCGGAAAUCGACUUAAUGAUUAAUAGGGACAGUCGGGGGCAUUUGUAUUCAAACGGCAGAGGUGAAAUUCUUGGACCGUUUGAAGACAAACUACUGCGAAAGCAUUUGCCAAGAAUGUUUUCAUUG